CCUACGGGAGGCAGCAGUGGGGGAUAUUGCACAAUGGGGGAAACCCUGAUGCAGCGACGCCGCGUGGGCGAAGAAGUAUUUCGGUAUGUAAAGCCCUAUCAGCAGGGAAGAAGAAAUGACGUUACCUGAGUAAGAAGCACCGGCUAAAUACGUGCCAGCAGCCGCGGUAAUACGUAUGGUGCAAGCGUUAUCCGGAUUUACUGGGUGUAAAGGGAGCGCAGGCGGCACGGCAAGCCUGAUGUGAAAGCCCGGGGCCCAACGGGGGGACUGCAUUGGGAACUACCGGGCUGGAGUGCCGGAGAGGAAGGCGGAAUUCCUAGUGUAGCGGUGAAAUGCGUAGAUAUUAGGAGGAACACCAGUGGCGAAGGCGGCCUACUGGACGGUGACUGACGCUGAGGCUCGAAAGCGUGGGGAGCAAACAGGAUUAGAUACCCCAGUAGUC
rnacentral:rRNA from 1 species